GCUGUGGGUUCCUAGGAGUCAGACUGGCUGGAACAACUUGAUUAGCAGGCUGUUCCAGCCAAUAAGACCACGGAAGGAAGCAACACACAAGUGCUUGGGAGGAUUUGCUGCCUGCCUGUAGUGAACCAAAUUGGCAGAAAAAUCUAUUUUCCAUGCACCAAUUUGCUGGCUUUCAGAAAAUGAGUCAAAGCUCCAUCUGCAAGCAAGUCAACUGAAACCCCAGCCUUCUACAUGCUUUCCUGGUGAGGAUCAAUAAUGAAGGAAUGUUGGUGCCAGGAAUCAACGGCACACUUGGCCAUGUGCCAGGAAGCGUAGGCUGUGCAGCUUCUGAGAAGUUUACAGGAAAACGUGACAUCUUGAAGAUGAAGAAAAGCAGUAAACAACAAGCCUUUCUAGCCUACAAUUUUAAGACCUUGCUUGGAAUCUGCUGCAAAUAAAAUUAGAAUAAAAUAAAGAUGAAAACACUUUU